CGCACGGGUGAGUAACACGUAUCCAACCUGCCGUCUACUCUUGGCCAGCCCUCUGAAAGGAAGAUUAAUCCAGGAUGGCAUCAUGAGUUCACAUGUCCGCAUGAUUAAAGGUAUUUUCCGGUAGACGAUGGGGAUGCGUUCCAUUAGAUAGUAGGCGGGGUAACGGCCCACCUAGUCAACGAUGGAUAGGGGUUCUGAGAGGAAGGUCCCCCACAUUGGAACUGAGACACGGUCCAA
rnacentral:rRNA from 1 species